GUACACACCGCCCGUCACGCCAUGGGAGUUGGGGCUGCCGGAAGAGGCUGAGCUAACCGCAAGGAGGCAGCCGCCAAAGGUCAAUUCAGUGACUGGGGCGAAGUCGUAACAAGGUAGCCGUAGGUGAACCUGCAGAAGGAUCA
rnacentral:rRNA from 1 species